GCUCCUACGGGGCGCAGCAGUGGGGAAUAUUGCACAAUGGGGGAAACCCUGAUGCAGCGACGCCGCGUGAAGGAAGAAGUAUUUCGGUAUGUAAACUUCUAUCAGCAGGGAAGAAAAUGACGGUACCUGACUAAGAAGCCCCGGCUAACUACGUGCCAGCAGCCGCGGUAAUACGUAGGGGGCAAGCGUUAUCCGGAUUUACUGGGUGUAAAGGGAGCGUAGACGGUCCUGCAAGCCAGAUGUGAAAGCUCGGGGCUCAACCCCGGGACUGCAUUUGGAACUGUAAGGCUA
rnacentral:rRNA from 1 species